UACGUAGGGUGCAAGCGUUAAUCGGAAUUACUGGGCGUAAAGCGUGCGCAGGCGGUUUUGUAAGUCUGAUGUGAAAUCCCCGGGCUCAACCUGGGAAUUGCAUUGGAGACUGCAAGGCUAGAAUCUGGCAGAGGGGGGUAGAAUUCCACGUGUAGCAGUGAUAUGCGUAGAGAUGUGGAGGAACACCGAUGGCGAAGGCAGCCCCCUGGGUCAAGAUUGACGCUCAUGCACGAAAGCGUGGGGAGCAAACAGG
rnacentral:rRNA from 1 species